UACGUAGGGUGCGAGCGUUAAUCGGAAUUACUGGGCGUAAAGCGUGCGCAGGCGGCGCGUUAAGACAGGUGUGAAAGCCCCGAGCUUAACUUGGGAAUUGCGCUUGUGACUGGCGUGCUGGAGUGUGGCAGAGGGAGGUGGAAUUCCACGUGUAGCAGUGAAAUGCGUAGAGAUGUGGAGGAACACCGAUGGCGAAGGCAGCCUCCUGGGCCAGCACUGACGCUCGAUGCACGAAAGCCGUGGGGAGCAAACAG
rnacentral:rRNA from 1 species